UGGUGGAGCAUGUGGUUUAAUUCGAUGCAACGCGAAGAACCUUACCUACUCUUGACAUCCACAGAACUUAGCAGAGAUGCUUCGGUGCCUUCGGGAACUGUGAGACAGGUGCUGCAUGGCUGUCGUCAGCUCGUGUUGUGAAAUGUUGGGUUAAGUCCCGCAACGAGCGCAACCCUUAUCCUUUGUUGCCAGCACGUAAUGGUGGGAACUCAAGGGAGACUGCCGGUGACAAACCGGAGGAAGGUGGGGAUGACGUCAAGUCAUCAUGGCCCUUACGAGUAGGGCUACACACGUGCUACAAUGGCAGAUACAAAGUGAAGCGAACUCGCGAGAGCAAGCGGACCACAUAAAGUCUGUCGUAGUCCGGAUUGGAGUCUGCAACUCGACUCCANGAAGUNNNAAUCG
rnacentral:rRNA from 1 species